ensembl:lncRNA
UCUAGAUUAGGUUUACCUGAGGUGGGCAGAGCCACCCUAACCUGAGCAGUGUUUUUCCAUGGAGAGGGGUCACCCGCUGAGCAAGAAGAAAGUGAGCUGGAUACAACUGUCUGCGCCUUCUGGAGGAGACCACAGCUAAGGUCAUAGGCCACACUGAGAGAAGGCUGUGUCGCAUCCUGUCCAUCUGUCCAUUCCUACUCUUGGCAUCUACCUGGCAUAUGCCCAUAGGUGACUUUGUAAAGUAGUGGCAGCCUCCACCCAAGCAGGCAUAAACUGGAAUGGACAGCUGCAUUGGCAUGUGACAAGAGAAUGGCUGUACCCACCACAUCUGUCCUUAGCCUGGACUGGCUGAAAAGGAGGAAGGGGUUGGAUAAAACUGAUGGCAUUCACUAGUACCAAGCUCAGAACAUGACCCCACCGUCACCCCCAAUGACUUAGUCCCACAGAUCUUCACCUAGAGGGUGGCUCUUGCAUGGUCAUUAGCUUGGUGUGCUGAAGCCGCCUGUGGAGCAUCUGGAAGAUCUUGAUGUAGACCAACAGCACUGUAUGUAGGAUAUACAUGGUAUAGCUCAUGGGACCAUAGUUAAGAAGGGACACAUCACGAGAUGGAGUUUUCAUCACAGGCUUUUGUUACCUGUGCCUUGGACUUCUCGCCUGACCCUACCUGUCCUUGGGGCUUGGAGGUGAGGUGAUGCAGAGUCAACAACACAGACUCUGGGAGCAGGGAUGAAAUCAAUCUUAAGCCAAAGGCACAGACCCAGAAAACAGCAAUGAAGAACUCAGGACCCAGGGACCAGUUACAUAAUGGAGUGGGCUGCUGCAAGGGCUCUGCCAGAAACACCGGAAAAUGGCUGACGGGUAUCUGCAGUACAUUGCAGUGCACAGCGGCAUGGCGCCCACCGUCAGCACAAUGUCAACAUAGCGACUAAGACAGAAUUUAUUCUGGAGCCAAAUAUGAGUGUAAUGGCCCAGAGAACACAGAGAUUACCCCAAAUACCAUGCUCCAAAGUAAUAACAGUAUGACAUUUUUAUAGUAGCAGAACAAAAUGACAAACCAAGAAGCUGUUCGGAUGUAUUAGUAGAAACAUCAGGUGGGCAGGCCACAGUCAAGUAGAGCAAUCCCGGCUCCAGGCCUCAGGCUAUUUGAUGGCAAUUCUUGGCUGACAGUGGAAAGCUACACUUAUGUGUAUACGUUCCAAAGAGGGUUUUACCUGACAGCCACAAGGGUGUCAGGUCAAGUGCAAAUAUGAGCAAUAAAUGGCUAUUUGAAGGGUUAAUAAUGGUUUGAGAUAAUUUAGCUGUAGACCUGCAACAUUCCACUGAUCCGGGAUCAUUUAAGUUCUUAUCAGUUGGUCAGCUUGUUAGAAUGUUUAACAUACUUUGGCUUUUUUUUUUCUUUCCAGAAUUUUUAUUCAAAGCAGCAGCCACAAUGGACAGCAUACCCCAUGCUUUUGGCUGCAAAGCCCAGUAACCCCAGUAACCUAUCCCCAGUCUCAGCCAAGUGAGCCUGGUUGUCCAAUGAGAGUCAAGCAGCACAGUCUGAAU